CGGUAUGAUAAGUGAUUUAAUAAAUUGCGCGUCGCACGGAAUGAUGGACUGGGAUUGCUUUUCACGUCAGUGUUUUCCAGACAUCAGAUGUGUGCACGUGUACUAGUAGUAUUCUCGCUCCUUCAUGUUCCCUGGACUUCACUUCCCUGGCUUAUCAUACCGA
rnacentral:rRNA from 1 species